UGAGUGCGGAGAGGGAGAGGUAUGCAAACAGAGCAGAGAUUCAAUGCCAGCCAGGUGUCUGUGUUCUCUCCAUCUGUGUGUGUGUGUGUGUGUGUGAUGCAAACAUCUGUGCUUUUGUGUGUGUGCAUAGGUGUGCAAACUUCCAUAUGCAGCUGUGUGCACAUGUUGCAUACGCACUAAACUCUGUCAGGCUCUUUCCUGGCCACUGUUUGUAUAUGCGUUCCCCAGGUUUCUAUGACAAGAUAUGCGCAUGUGUUUUUCCUCCAGGUGCGUGUCUGGGCCCUUCAUGGUCACUGACUCCAUUCACCUGAGCCGUCCCUUCACACUGAAAAGCCAGUUGACGGUAAAAAAGCUCUUUGGACAGCUUCUCUUCAUCACCAACCACAGCUGCUGUUGACUCAAGCGCCCAGGAAUCUCCUCCACAGGUUCACACCCUUUUCACCAGCCAACCACACAGCAGAACCAGGAAGCU